UACUAACUAACUAGGACCUCCCUGUUGUAUAGUACUAACUAACUAGGACCUCCCUGUUGUAUAGUACUAACUAACUAGGACCUCCCUGUUGUAUAGUACUAACUAACUAGGACCUCCCUGUUGUAUAGUACUAACUAACUAGGACCUCGUUAUGAAUCAAUGUGUUGUUUUAGUCUGAAACACUUCUCUUGUUACUGAAUACUAACGUUCCUCCUUUCCACAGUUAUUUGUAAUUUUAAUGUAUGGUUUAUUUGGGUAGGGACCGAUACAAACACAUCGUCUUCUCCUACACGGUUCCAGCAUCUACAGUUAAUGAGUAACCAGGCCAGCUUGGUUUGCUCAGCAGUGUGAAAAAGGUAUUGGAAACUACAUUUGUCAAGCAGACUGUGGUAAACCCAUACUGUUAUGUUGUGUAGACUACACUACUCAGCAGUGUGGAAAAGGUAUUGGAAACUACAUUUGUCAAGCAGACUGUGGUAAACCCAUACUGUUAUGUUGUGUAGACUACACUACUCAGCAGUGUGGAAAAGGUAUUGGAAACUACAUUUGUCAAGCAGACUGUGGUAAACCCAUACUGUUAUGUUGUGUAGACUACACUACUCAGCAGUAGUAUGAGACAUGAAACACAGUGGCUCUUCAUAGUGAAAUUAACUUGUAAGGUUUCUGACUCUAUAUUCCUUGGAAUAAUGCUUUUAUGUGAAGUGUAACGGGAAACGGACAUUCCCAGCUUUUGAAGAGUAAACGUUCAUGCCUCCUCGACGCUUUUAUAAGCUGUUAUUCCUCUAUCAGUUAAUUUUAAUGUUUUUAUUUAUUCAAUGGUUUUAUUUUUGCACUUCUGUUACUUUGCCUUUGAUUCCAUGUGAAGUGAAGAUCCAUUCCAAUGUUGAACAAACAUAAUUAUUACUGCAAGUGUUUUAAAAUCUAUUUAGAUGCGUACAUGUAUAUGAUCUGUUAUCUGUGCAAUAAAGAGAUGUUAUACAGCA